rnacentral:rRNA from 1 species
UACGUAGGUGACAAGCGUUGUCCGGAUUUACUGGGCGUAAAGAGCGCGCAGGCGGUCGUUCAAGUCGAGUGUGAAAGCCCCCCGGCUCAACUGGGGAGGGUCACUCGAUACUGAUCGACUCGAAGGCAGGAGAGGGUAGUGGAAUUCCCGGUGUAGUGGUGAAAUGCGUAGAUAAUCGGGGAGGAACACCCAGGGGGAAACCAGUCGACUGGGCAUCUCAGCUGACGCUGGAGGUGCGAGAG